ensembl:lncRNA
GAGGCGGAGGGACUGGAUGGGAAGAUACUCCAGAGGCAGCCUUGACAGGCUGUUCAGACUGAUGCACAGAGUUGCCGGGGGGAGAAGGCGGGAGGGGCCAGGAGUGUUUCCUGGUGUCUGGCUUCCGCAAGUGGGUGGUGGGUGUCAGUCACGGUGAUGGGGGGACGCAGGUCUGGGUGGAAGAUGGUGAGGUGGCUCUGCCAUGUUGAGUUGGAGGAACCUGCAAGACCCAGGAGUGGAGAUGCGGACUCAGCAAUGGGUCAGAGAUGCUCGAGCAACACGGGGUUGGCGGUGGAGAGCUGGAGUCAGCAGCAUGGGACUUUCAGCCAGGCUUCCCCUUCCAGCAAGAUGACCCUGAGAAUGUGCGAGGAGUGAGAAGCGGCAGCCGGGGCUGACCCCGAGGAAAGGCAUCCAACCAGUGGGCUCGGAGCGGGGUGCACGGGGGACCACAGCCCAGCGCGGAAGACCACAGAGGAAGGACUGAAGACUUUCACAUCACCUGGCGGGAUGGUUCUUUCCUUUUGAGGACAGAGUUUUUCCCAUCCACAUUGGAAAUUGUCUUCCCGUGGCCUGCCUCUGAGAGGUUUGGGGAGGUGGCAGCUGAGACUCGACAAGCCCUGUGUCCAUCCAGCUUCUAUGUCUUGAAGUCACCUGGCACCAGCACCUCCUGGGCUGUGUCACCACCUCCCCCUUUUCACCCAGGAUGAGCUCAAUCAGCGCCAAGCUGACCUGAACCUCCAGGCUACAGGAGGUUUCCCUCGAUGGUCUUCUUCACCCAGCAUGGACCGGCCCUCCAUCCAAGGACAGUUCUCCAGUGCCUUAUCAUCUCUUCUAAAUAGGUGUUUUCUUCCCAGCCCUUCCCCCCACCAAACUCCUUAUCACUUCUUUUUUUUUUUUAAAUCUGCAAUUUUUUCCCCCUGGGAAAGAUUCACCCUGAGCUAACAUCUAUUGCCAAUCUUCCUCUGUUUUUUAGUAUGUGAGCCACCAGCACAGCAUCGCUGCUAACAGAGUCGUGUGGGUCCAUACCUGGGAACUGAACCCAGGCUGCUGAAGCAGAUCAUGCUGAACUUAACCACUAGGCCACUGGGGCUGGUCCCUUCCUCUCUUUUUUUUUUCCCACCCCAAAGCCCAGUACAUAGUUGUAUGUUGUAGUUGUAGCUCCUCCUAGUUCUUCUGUGUGAGCCGCUGCCACAGCAUGACACUGACAGAUGAAUGGUGUGGUUCUGUGCCCGGGAACCAAACCUGGGCCACCAAAGCAGAGUGUGCCAAACUUUAACCACUAAGCCAUCAGGGCUGGCUCCCACCAAACUCUUGAUAAUUUACAUCACAACCCAAAUGGUUUUUGCUACAGUUAGCAGAUCAUUGAUGUCAUCUUCCCAGGGAUGCAACAAUCUUGCUUCUCAUCAGCUCCCACCUCCCACCUAGCCCCAGCCCCUCUUUCCCAGAGUCCUUGUUCCCUUUCGGUGAACCCAAUUUAGCUGAGACACAUCAGGGGGUGCCAAUGGUCUGUGAAUUAUGGUGAGUUUCCUAAAGGUUAUGGGAGUUGAACGGGAAUUUCCCUAACAUAAUCAAAAGGAAUUAUGAACACAUUUUAAUAUAAUAAAAGCAG